rnacentral:sRNA from 2 species
GGGGAUGUGUCGCGACGAAUGAGAUCGCGGAUUAAGAGUUGAUAUUGGCUAUGUAUAUACCUGUGUCUUGACCGUUGGCAGUUCUCAACCCCUUAAUCCAUUUUUAUCUCUGAGGUAGAUUUCGAACGCAAGAGGCGUUCGAAACCAUCAUCUACUACUCAGUAUGGUGCUCUGUGGGAACAGGACUAUACCUGGUUAAUUUUACCGCUGGCAAACGCCUCAAUAUUCACGGUUUGCAUGGUCUGUAUAGAAAGAUACUAUCUUCUAUUCCUAGCUUUGGUCAGUGGGUUUGGCAUAAAUACUAGUACGUCAGGGUCACUUUUGUACCAGCACUGGUACUACUGGCAUCCGUUAGAGACUUGACAUGAAGAAGAUUCACGACUUGCUUGCAGCAACGUCACGUAGUAGAAGUUUCUUUUCCCUCCAGCUGCCGGGGUAUUUGUUCUUAUAUUUAGUGGGAGUAAAAGG